rnacentral:rRNA from 1 species
UACGGGGGGGGCAAGCGUUGUUCGGAAUUACUGGGCGUAAAGGGCCAGUAGGCGGCCAACUAAGUCGGAUGUGAAAUCCCCAGGCUCAACUUGGGAACUGCAUCCGAUACUGGAUGGCUUGAAUUCGGGAGAGGGAUGCAGAAUUCCAGGUGUAGCGGUGAAAUGCGUAGAUAUCUGGAGGAAUACCGGUGGCGAAGGCGGCAUCCUGGACCGACAUUGACGCUGAACGGCGAAAGCUAGGGGAGCGAA